AGAGUUUGAUCCUGGCUCAGGACGAACGCUGGCGGCGUGCCUAACACAUGCAAGUCGAGCGGGAUCCAUCCAGUAGCAAUACUGGUGAAGAUCUAGCGGCGAACGGGUGAGUAACACGUGAGAAACCUGCCCCGGACUCUGGGAUAACACGAGGAAACUCGUGCUAAUACCGGAUAUCUUCUUUUGACCGCAUGGUCAGCUGAAGAAAGAUUUAUCGGUUUGGGAGGGUCUCGCGGCCUAUCAGCUAGUUGGCGGGGUAACGGCCCACCAAGGCAUCGACGGGUAGCUGGUCUGAGAGGACGAUCAGCCACACUGGGACUGAGACACGGCCCAGACUCCUACGGGAAGCAGCAGUGGGGAAUCUUGCGCAAUGGGCGAAAGCCUGACGCAGCAACGCCGCGUGCGGGAUGAAGGCCUUCGGGUUGUAAACCGCUUUCAGCAGGGAAGAAAUUGACGGUACCUGCAGAAGAAGCCCCGGCCAACUACGUGCCAGCAGCCGCGGUAACACGUAGGGGGCGAGCGUUGUCCGGAUUUAUUGGGCGUAAAGAGCUCGUAGGCGGUUCGGUAAGUCGGGUGUGAAACCUCCAGGCUCAACCUGGAGACGCCACCUGAUACUGCUGUGACUAGAGUCCGGUAGGGGAGUGUGGAACUCCUGGUGUAGCGGUGAAAUGCGCAGAUAUCAGGAAGAACACCAGCGGCGAAGGCGGCACUCUGGGCCGGUACUGACGCUGNNNAGCGAAAGCGUGGGUAGCAAACAGGAUUAGAUACCCUGGUAGUCCACGCCGUAAACGUUGGGCACUAGGUGUGGGUCUCAACCAACGAGAUCCGUGCCGCAGCUAACGCAUUAAGUG
rnacentral:rRNA from 1 species